rnacentral:rRNA from 1 species
UACCAGCACCCCGAGUGGUCGGGACGUUUAUUGGGCCUAAAGCAUCCGUAGCCGGUUCUACAAGUCUUCCGUUAAAUCCACCUUCUUAACAGAUGGGCUGCGGAAGAUACUAUAGAGCUAGGAGUCGGGAGAGGCAAGCGGUACUCGAUGGGUAGGGGUAAAAUCCGUUGAUCCAUUGAAGACCACCAGUGGCGAAGGCGGCUUGCCAGAACGCGCUCGACGGUGAGGGAUGAAAGCUGGGGGAGCAAGCCGG